GAUGAAGAACGUAGCGAAAUGCGAUAAGUAAUGUGAAUUGCAGAAUUCAGUGAAUCAUCGAAUCUUUGAACGCACAUUGCGCCCCUUGGUAUUCCGGGGGGCAUGCCUGUUCGAGCGUCAUUUCAACCCUCAAGCUCUACUUGGUAUUGGGCUCCGUCCUCCUCGGACGCGCCUCAAAGACCUCGGCGGUGGCGUCUUGCCUCAAGCGUAGUAGAAACACCUCGCUUUGGAGUGCAUGGCGUCGCCCGCCGGACGAAACCUUUUGUAUUUUCUCAAAGGUUGACCUCGGAUCAGGUAGGGAUACCCGCUGAACUUAAGCAUAUCAAUAAGCGGAGGA
rnacentral:misc_RNA from 1 species